rnacentral:rRNA from 1 species
AGUCACUGACAUUAGAUACCCGCGUAGUCCAGGGUGUAAACGCUGCGGGCUUGGUGUUGGGGGUCCUUUGAGGGCGCCCAGUGCCGGAGAGAAGUUGUUAAGCCUGCUGCUUGGGAGUACGUCCGCAAGGAUGAAACUUAAAGGGAUUGGCGGGGGAGCACCGCAACGGGAGGAGCGUGCGGUUCAAUUGGAUUCAACGCCGGACAACUCACCAGGAGCGACGGUUACAUGAAGGCCAGGCUGAUGACCUUGCCUGAUUUUCCG